UGCAAAUGAUGUUUUUUCUCACGAUGGUCUUCCAAGUCUCUCGGGCUCUGACGACACUGCCUUAUGGCAUUACUGAUGCAGCAUA